rnacentral:rRNA from 1 species
UACGGAGGGUGCAAGCGUUAUCCGGAUUCACUGGGUUUAAAGGGAGCGUAGGUGGGCAGGUAAGUCAGUGGUGAAAUCUCUGGGCUUAACCCGGAAACUGCCAUUGAUACUAUCUGUCUUGAAUACCGUGGAGGUGAGCGGAAUAUGUCAUGUAGCGGUGAAAUGCUUAGAUAUGACAUAGAACACCAAUUGCGAAGGCAGCUCACUACACGAAUAUUGACACUGAGGCACGAAAGCGUGGGGAUCAAACAGG